GAUGAACGCUGGCGGCGCGCCUAACACAUGCAAGUCGAACGAUUAAAGCACCUUCGGGUGUGUAUAAAGUGGCGAACGGCUGAGUAACACGUGGGCAACCUGCCCCUCUCAUUGGGAUAGCCACGGGAAACCGUGGAUAAUACCGAAUACUUCGAGUCUCCCGCAUGGAAGACUCGAGAAAGCUCCGGCGGAGAGGGAUGGGCCCGCGGCCUGUUAGCUUGUUGGUGGGGUAACGGCCUACCAAGGCAAUGAUGGGUAGCUGGGUUGAGAGACCGGCCAGCCAGAUUGGGACUGAGACACGGCCCAGACUCCUACGGGAGGCAGCAGUGGGGAAUCUUGCACAAUGGGCGAAAGCCUGAUGCAGCGACGCCGCGUGCGGGAUGAAGGCCUUCGGGUUGUAAACCGCUUUCAGCAGGGACGAGGCGAAAGUGACGGUACCUGCAGAAGAAGCCCCGGCUAACUACGUGCCAGCCGCCGCUGUAAAAC
rnacentral:rRNA from 1 species